AGUUUGAUCCUGGCUCAGGACGAACGCUGGCGGCGUGCCUAAUACAUGCGAGUCGAGCGAAUCUUUUGGGACUUGUCCCUUGAGAUUAGCGGCGGACGGGUGAUAACACGUGGGUAACCUGCCUGUAGACUGAAUAACUCGAAGACCGGAGCUGUACCGGAUAGUUUCUUUCUCGCAGAGAAGGAUGGAAAGAUGGUGCUGCUAUCACUUACGGAUGGACCCGCGGCGCAUUAGCUAGUUGGUGAGGGACGGCUCACCGGGGCCACGAUGCGUAGCCGACCUAGAGGGUGAGCGGCCACACUGGGACUAGACACGGCCCAAACUCCUACGAAGGCAGCACGGGGAGGCCUCCGCGGUGGACGAAGGCUGACAAGCGACGCCGCGUAGUGAUGAGGGUCUCGGAGCGUGAACUCUGUUGCCAAAUGGAACGCCAAAAGGGGCGAUGUUCGCUGAGGACGGUACCUAGGGGAGAGCCCCGGCUAACUACGUGCCAGCAGCCGCGGUAUACGGGAGCGGACUCUCAGAUCUCCUCA
rnacentral:rRNA from 1 species